rnacentral:tRNA from 1 species
AGACCAGUUCGCAGUCGGCCAGGUGCGCGAGUAUCUCGCGAAUGCUCCAUUUGCCUGGUGCAGGUGUGCGGUUGAGUUGCGCUCCCGACAGGUUCGC